AGGCAGUUAGUCCAAUUAAGACACUUGAUUUCGGCUCAAGGGGUGCUGGUUAAAAUCCAUUACUGUCGU
rnacentral:tRNA from 1 species